UUGCAUCGAUGAAGAACGCAGCGAAAUGCGAUACGUAAUGUGAAUUGCAAAUUCAGUGAAUCAUCGAGUCUUUGAACGCACAUUGCGCCCCCUGGUAUUCCGGGGGGCAUGCCUGUCCGAGCGUCAUUGCUGCCCUCAAGCCCGGCUUGUGUGUUGGGCCCCGUCCUCCGAUUUCCGGGGGACGGGCCCGAAAGGCAGCGGCGGCACCGCGUCCGGUCCUCGAGCGUAUGGGGCUUUGUCACCCGCUCUGUAGGCCCGGCCGGCGCUUGCCGAUCAACCCAAAUUUUUAUCCAGGUUGACCUCGGAUCAGGUAGGGAUACCCGCUGAACUUAAGCAUAUCAAUAAACGGAGGAAA
rnacentral:rRNA from 1 species